rnacentral:rRNA from 1 species
UACGAAGGGGGCUAGCGUUGUUCGGAAUCACUGGGCGUAAAGCGCACGCAGGCGGAUUGAUAAGUCGGGGGUGAAAUCCCGGGGCUCAACCUCGGAAUUGCCUUCGAUACUGUCUGUCUUGAGUCCGGGAGAGGUGAGUGGAAUUCCUAGUGUAGAGGUGAAAUUCGUAGAUAUUAGGAAGAACACCGUAGCGAAGGCGGCUCUGGGCCGUACU